UCAUUCGUAUAGCAAACAUAUAAGUGUAUAGCCAACACAAACAUUGUCAGUGUCAUGCCUGAUUAGACAAGGACAGAAGACACUUUUAUGCAGCGUUCUUUCUACUCCUAUGUCGCAUCCACUUACACGAUAAUUUAAGACUAUAUGACUCGCGUACUCUAACUCUUUGUAUAUCUAUCGUUAUAAUAGACAUUUAUUGCAGUCUCACAGUUGUUCGAAAUUUUGAAUUUUAGAACAUGUCUAAGAAUCAUCGAAAUGGAAAGGUAGGUAGCAUUUCUGCACUUCCAUCAAAAUUACUAUUAACAAAUUGAACACUUUAAACACUCCAUCCAUUAAAUAAACCUCUAUUAUAUAAUUGUGAUAGUAUGAAACUUCCUUUCUGCUGUGACGUCCAUAUCUCAUAAAAAGAUUAUUUGAAAGUUAGUGGUUUUCACGUUCGUGUUCUAUGUACAUAUGUAGCGCUUAAAGUUCUAAAACAGACAAUUUAAAUAUCCGUGAAGGUCACCUUUUAUAAACAUUAUGUCCAUUCAUUGGGGUAUAGCAGGUGCUGAAAAAAUAUCACAUGGUUUUGUAACAUGCUUACGAACAUUACCAGAAUCCGAACAUGUAGUUCUUGCAGUAGCGGCACGUGAACUAUCAAGGGCACAGAACUUUUCUAGCUUACAUAAAAUUAAAAAGGCGUUAUUACAAUUAUGUAGAGCUAGCUCUACAAUUAUGUAGAGCUAGCGAAAGACAAGAAUAUUGAUGUCGUAUAUAUUGGAACGUUACAUCCUCAACACUUUGACAUUGCAAAAUUAAUGUUAAAUCAUGGGAAACAUGUUUUAUGUGAAAAACCUUUAACUAUGAAUUUGAAGCAAACAACAGAGUUGAUAAAUUUAGCAAAGCAGAAGAAGUUGUUCUUAAUGGAAGGUAUUUGGAGUAGUAGUUGUUUUCCUAUAUAUGAAACUCUUAAAAAAGAAAUUGUCAUAGAGUGUUAUCAGCGUUGUCAUAGACUGUUGUCACCAUAUUUUAAAAAGAAUCGUUGUAACGAAGUUAGUGAGUAACGAACAGUGAUUGCGCAAACAUAGAUUGCCGGAGCAUCAAACGAUAUUGUAACAAUCAUAACGUUACCAAAUCUACUAGCACUAUACCAUUUUCCUACAUAUAUAUAUAUAUAUGCUUAAGAUACAAUAAGUUACAUAUAUAUAAAAUAUGUAUGUAUGUAUAUUUCAAUACUCCUAUAAGAUAUACAGGGUAUAUUGUUUAAUACCAACCACCAUUUCUCGAGUGUUUCCAAUAAUAUUGUAACGUCGCGUGAAAAGGUCCGCGCGACGUCCUUCAUUGUCUGACCGUCAAGGCCCAAGCACCGUUAGAGAAACACUCAAUAAACCUAAGGCCCCACCAUAAACCGAGUCUUAUUAGUUGGCAGGAAGCUUUAACCGUACAAGUAUUUUCAGUUUAUUACUGGUACUUAAAAGGUCCUUAGGUCUAUUGUACAUUCUUCCAAAUUACGAAGAAAGGAAGUAGUUACCUAAAGGGAAAAACGAAAAAAUUGCCUAAUGGAAAAGCUGGUAACAUAACCGAAUAAAACUGAUCCCAUAUCAAAU